rnacentral:rRNA from 1 species
AUGAAAGAAAUGUACUCUGCAUCUUCAGCGGAGCGAGCGGAGGACACGGAGCGGCAUCUCAAUCAACCAACCUGGACGGGGACGGGGGCGGAUCGGCGGGUGGCUCAAUCAGCCGCGGCAGCGCGUGAUGGCGGAGCAGCCGCGGGAGUAGGGGUUGGCCUGGCCGCCGGGGCGGCAGUUGUAGUAGGAGGAGCCGCGCACGGAGCAGGGCACGUUGUCCCGCCGCAGCGCGCCGUAGCUGAUGUAGCCGUUGCCGCUCUGCAGCACGCGCCGCGCCACCGCGUCGCCGCCGGUGAGGCCGUACCCGUCGUCGGCGACGUCCUCCACGCCCAGCUCCCAGCUCAGCGGCACCUCCCCGGCCCCGGCCUCGGCGCCGCGGGCGAGCAGGAGGGAAGCGGCGGCGAGGAGGAGGAGCGCCGCGAGGGCGGGGGCCUUGGCUGCCAUGGCGAGGAAGGGGAAAGCGGAGUGGGGAUGGGGAAUGCUCUGCUUUCUUGGGUGCGGGCGUGGGGUUUGGUGCUUGUGCCUGGCCUCUGCCACCGGCAAAUGGGUUUAUACUAG